rnacentral:lncRNA from 1 species
AUGAAUAGGAGGAGUGGAGUAAAACUAAAGACCCGUUUUCCUUUUAGAGUGUUUCUGAGGGGGACUACACCACAACUAAAGACCCGUUUUCCUUUUAGAGCGUUUCUGAGGGGGACUACACCACAACUAAAGACCCGUUUUCCUUUUAGAGUGUUUCUGAGGGGGACUACACCACAACUAAAGACCCGUUUUCCUUUUAGAGUGUUUCUGAGGGGGACUACACCACAACUAAAGACCCGUUUUCCUUUUAGAGUGUUUCUGAGGGGGACUACACCACAACUAAAGACCCGUUUUCCUUUUAGAGUGUUUCUGAGGGGGACUACACCACAACUAAAGACCCGUUUUCCUUUUAGAGUGUUUCUGAGGGGGACUACACCACAACUAAAGACCCGUUUUCCUUUUAGAGUGUUUCUGAGGGGGACUACACCACAACUAAAGACCCGUUUUCCUUUUAGAGUGUUUCUGAGGGGGACUACACCACAACUAAAGACCCGUUUUCCUUUUAGAGUGUUUCUGAGGGGGACUACACCACAACUAAAGACCCGUUUUCCUUUUAGAGUGUUUCUGAGGGGGACUACACCACAACUAAAGACCCGUUUUCCUUUUAGAGUGUUUCUGAGGGGGACUACACCACAACUAAAGACCCGUUUUCCUUUUAGAGUGUUUCUGAGGGGGACUACACCACAACUAAAGACCCGUUUUCCUUUUAGAGUGUUUCUGAGGGGAACUACACCACAACUAAAGACCUGUUUUCCUUUUAGAGUGUUUCUGAGGGGGACUACACCACAACUAAAGACCUGUUUUCCUUUUAGAGUGUUUCUGAGGGGGACUACACCACAACUAAAGACCUGUUUUCCUUUUAGAGUGUUUCUGAGGGGGACUACACCACAACUAAAGACCCGUUUUCCUUUUAGAGUGUUUCUGAGGGGGACUACACCACAACUAAAGACCUGUUUUCCUUUUAGAGUGUUUCUGAGGGGGACUACACCACAACUAAAGACCUGUUUUCCUUUUAGAGUGUUUCUGAGGGGGACUACACCACAACUAAAGACCUGUUUUCCUUUUAGAGCGUUUCUGAGGGGGACUACACCACAACUAAAGACCCGUUUUCCUUUUAGAGUGUUUCUGAGGGGGACUACACCACAACUAAAGACCCGUUUUCCUUUUAGAGUGUUUCUGAGGGGGACUACACCACAACUAAAGACCUGUUUUCCUUUUAGAGCGUUUCUGAGGGGGACUACACCACAACUAAAGACCUGUUUUCCUUUUAGAGUGUUUCUGAGGGGACUACACCACAACUAA